rfam:Triticum aestivum genome assembly, contig: Triticum_aestivum_CS42_TGACv1_scaffold_571466_7AS
AUUGUACUCUCUUCGUCCAGAAAUAUUUAUCAUCAAAAUGAAUAAAAGAAAAUGUAUGUAGAUGCAUUUUAGUUCUAGAUACAUCCAUUUUUGUCCAUUUUGAUGGCAAGUAUUUUCGGACAAAGGUAGAAAAAG